GAUGAACGCUAGCGACAGGCCUAACACAUGCAAGUCGAGGGGCAGCAUGAAAUUAGCUUGCUAAUUUUGAUGGCGACCGGCGCACGGGUGAGUAACACGUAUGCAACCUGCCUGUAAGCGGGGGAUAACCCGGAGAAAUCCGGACUAAUACCGCAUAGUAUCACCAUUUCGCAUGUUAUUGUGAUUAAAGAUUAAUUGCUUACAGAUGGGCAUGCGUCUGAUUAGCUAGUUGGCGGGGUAACGGCCCACCAAGGCAACGAUCAGUAGGGGUUCUGAGCGGAAGGUCCCCCACAUGGGAACUGAGACACGGACCAAACUCCUACGGGAGGCAGCAGUGAGGAAUAUUGGUCAAUGGACGAGAGUCUGAACCAGCCAUGUCGCGUGAAGGAAGACUGUCCUAUGGAUUGUAAACUUCUUUUAUAUGGGAAUAAAGUGAGAAACGUGUUUCUUUUUGUAUGUACCAUAUGGAUAAGCACCGGCUAACUCCGUGCCAGCAGCCGCCGUAAUAC
rnacentral:rRNA from 1 species